UUUAAUGAAGGUUAAUUAUUUUUGAAUUUUAUUUGAAUUUCAUAAUUAAUUUUAAGAUUAUUGGCGGUGUUAAUUAAAUUCUGAGGAACUUGUUUAUUUAAAAUGAUAUUACUCGAUAAAUUUUAUCUGAUUUUUUUUUAUGUAUUGCUGUUAAAUUUAUUUGUUGAAAUAUUAAAUAGAUUAAAUUUUUUUAAUAGGAAUAUAGAAAAAAAAAGGAUUUCAAGUCAAAAUGUAGAUUUAUUCAGGUAUAAAUGAGUUACUUUAUUAGGAAAAAUGAUACUGUAAAGAGAGAUGAAAUAUUUUUUAAAUGAAGGUUGGAUUAGGAAGUAAAAAAAUAUUAAUAAGUUUUUUUGAUAUAUUUAUUAAUAUGUACAUAUCGCCCGUCGCUUAAAAGAAUUAUUUAAAUUUUUA
rnacentral:rRNA from 1 species